UACUAGAGUAGCACUCGCAUAUCAAUAAGCGGAGGAAAAGAAACUAACAAGGAUUCCCCUAGUAACGGCGAGUGAAGCGGGAAGAGCUCAAAUUUGAAAUCUUAAAGGGUUUCCCUUUACGAAUUGUAGUUUAAAGAAGUGUUUUCUGUUGAGGUUUUGGUAAAAGUUCUUUGGAAUAGGACAUCAUAGAGGGUGAGAAUCCCGUAUUUGACCUUUACUUUCAACUUUGUGAUACACUUUCAAAGAGUCGGAUUGUUUGGGAAUGCAGUCCAAAAUGGGUGGUAAAUUUCGUCUAAAGCUAAAUAUUGGCGAGAGACCGAUAGCGAACAAGUACCGUGAGGGAAAGAUGAAAAGAACUUUGAAAAGAGAGUUAAACAGUACGUGAAAUUGUCAAAAGGGAAGCGUUUGACACCAGUGUUGUUUUUCUGAAAAUCAAUUAAAGAACUGUUUAUGCUAAGCUGUUUAGACUUUAUCAGCUAAUCUGUUUAGUUUUGAGCUUUUCUUUAAUGCACUUUUCAGUUAACAAGUCAACAUCAAUUUCUUUUGCUGUAAAAAAGCUUGAGGAAGGUGGCUUGAGAUUCGUCUUAAGUGUUUAUAGCCUCUUGCCUAUGCAGUCGGAGAGAUUGAGGUCUGCAGCGUAGAUCCUUCGGGGCUAAAUGCAUUUGUGCUAAGUUAUAGCAUUUUAUAGACAACUUGUUGACUAUGAUUUGUCUUGUAGCUUACUCGCUUAUGUUAUUUUACCUACGCUUAGGAUGUUGAGCGCAUGUCUCUCUCU
rnacentral:rRNA from 1 species